AAUAAAACGUAAACGAAAAUGGUGGUUCCUUUUGACUCAUUUCCAGUGUAAAAAAAAUAAAUAAAAUAAUCUCCAUGCAUGUCUCCGAGAGUCAUUCUGUUGAUUUUCGACCGCACAUGCUUGACACAGAAAAUUCCGUGACACAUUUCAAACGACGUCUCAAGAGAGCGCCUUAAGACCAAAAUAGCUGACAGCUAAUUUGACCAGGGCUGCUCUACAUUGAAAAAAGGAGCGAUAAAGCGCCCCUAAUCAGACAAGUGCACCCGAGAUUGGACCUUGCCUCCAAGUGACAUUGAGGGAGAACAGCAGCCAAAACUGUCCUGAAAGCCACCCAAACAUAAUUGUCGGCUAAAGAAGACAGCUGCCUUCCUGCUGUUACGCCCUACAGGAUGCAGCAAGAAACUUUUUUUUUUUUUUUUUUUAAUCUUUUACGAAUUCCUUGUCAGCUUGCACCGUCAGGCCCACUCGCAUUUCGCGAGAUGAGAAUUGGCUCAUACGGUUACUUAUUAACUGAAUACAUGCCAUUUGGUGGGGACUCACUGAGCCAGAGGCCAACCACUGGUUCAAAAAAAGAAAGUAGAGAAGGUCUCCAACCUGAUUUACUUGAUUAAACAUUAGCAGGCUAAUGUUACUAUGGUCAAAUGAAUGGCAAACGACAAAAGAAGAACCAGAAGUAGCAGGAGGAAGUGAACUUUAGAAACCAAAUUCAGAUAUGAGGCAGUAUUUUCAAGAGCCAUUAAAACAAAGCAGGAAGUGGAGAAAAUAAGAGCGGCAAAUUCAAAGAAAAUUGCUCCCGAAAAAGAAACGGGUCCCAAAUGGCUCACCGAGAAAGCGGGUCAACGCGGGUCUGUCAACGGAAGCCAUAGAUCCCCAUCAGACUCAUUCCUUUCCGCCUCGGUGAUUUCCUGAGUUACUGUAAUAACCAGGGGGGGGCUUCGACCACAGAAUGACCAUGUACAGUCAUACUUGCGAAAACUCCCAUCCUGCUCCUACCGAAGGCUGCACGGUUGUGUCGGAUUGACACGCAGAUCGACGGCACGACAAAAGCGCCGGCGCCAAUGUGCUCCCAGCAGCCGACGUCAAAUCCAAGACUCCGACCAUCCAGUCUUAUACGAUGGAUCGUUUCGACUCUGCGGUCUUAUUUGUGAGUCUCGUUUAUACGUUAGAGCUCUACACAUUUCCAGUUGGCACCCUGAAAAUGAGAAGGUGAGGGCCAAGGGAAAAAAAAAAUGGGGGCGAAAUGGAAACGAAGCGAUUUGGCCAUAUGUGGAAAUUCAUUGUAUGGAGAUUUUGCGGGGUAGGUGGCAUUUUCAUGGGCACACACACCGAACCACGAAGAGAAGUAACCGAAGACCUUGCUGGAAAACGACUGCUGCAUAACAUCUCUCCCCCCAUAACUUUCCACAUUCCCCUGAAACCAAGCCCACUUGAACGGGUGUAGAAAAUAAUCACUCGCCGCUACCGCACCACUUUUUGGCGCACGUCGUCGGUGCCGCCACGCCCUGUACUUCACUGAGAGGUCAACAGACAAUUGUGUGACGAACAAUAAUGCGAAGACAAGUAUAGACGUUACACAAGCGGGAUUUUGAGGGGCUUUCCACCUAUCCCACACCAAGAUGGAUCAAAAUGUUCAAUACUUUAGUCACUGGAGGCAGAGCGUUGUCAGUAUCGUUCGACUUUGUAGAAAGCGUAGGUAUCAAAUAGACUCACAAAAAGGUGCACAGCGACUAUCUCCGCGCAGCACAACAAACUUGCGCAAGACUUCACAGGAAGCGCCAAAACCUGCGAGCAGUGGC